UACGAAGGGUGCAAGCGUUACUCGGAAUUACUGGGCGUAAAGCGUGCGUAGGUGGUUCGUUAAGUCUGUCGUGAAAGCCCCGGGCUCAACCUGGGAAUUGCAUUCCGAGACUGAAUAGCUAGGGUGCGGUAGAGGGAAGCGGAAUUUCCGGUGUAAGCGGUGAAAUGCGUAGAUAUCGGAAGGAACAUCAGUGGCGAAAGCGGCUUCCUGGACCAGCACCGACGUUCAGGCACGAAAGCGUGGGGAGCAAACAGG
rnacentral:rRNA from 1 species